rfam:Triticum urartu cultivar G1812 contig124356, whole genome shotgun sequence.
AAACUACUCCCUCCGUUCCGAAUUACUUGUCGCAGGUAUGAAUGUAUCUAGAUGUAUUUUAGUUCUAGAUACAUCCAUUUCUGCGACGAGUAAUUUAGAACGGAGGGAGUAGUAA